GAAUAUACCAAUAAUGGGUGCAGGAUCACUGAAAGAGAGUUUAACACGAUGAAGCUGUGAAAUGACAAAAACGUAGUAUCGGGACCUUUUUUUCUCGAGGCUAGAAGCAGAAGUAAGGCUGGACCUGGCAGACUUCUGUGACAUGCUGUCAUUCUCUUCCCUCCUGACAGAAAAGUUAAAAACAAGAGAGGAAAACAAGGCCCACAUGAGGAUGGAGGAGGAUUUUUCACUUUGCCAUAGUGCAGUGAUUUAAGUUGGAUGUCAUGUCUUCCCAAGCUCUGUCUCUGUUCAGCUGCACCAGACAGGCCGCAGCAUCCAUCACCCCUGAGCAGAAGCCAAACAGUGGACCAGAUCCUAAAGACUUCUGUCUCCUGAGAGGCAGCAAGAGGACCAAGCUCUGU